GAGGCCCGGGGCGCACCGCCCCCAGCCGCUGCCGCAGCCGUCGCCGUCGCGGUUCUUCACAGCCGGAGCCGGACAUCAUGAGACAAGAAUAGUAAUCUUUUCCCCUGUUUUCACAAUGGAGGACUCGGGAAAGACUUUCAGCUCUGAGGAGGAAGAAGCUAACUAUUGGAAAAACCUGGCUAUGACCUACAAGCAGAGGGCAGAGAACACGCAAGAGGAACUCCGAGAAUUCCAGGAGGGAAGCCGAGAAUAUGAAGCUGAAUUGGAGACGCAGCUGCAACAAAUUGAAACCAGGAACAGGGACCUGCUGUCAGAAAACAACCGCCUUCGCAUGGAGCUGGAAACCAUCAAGGAGAAGUUUGAAACGCAGCAUUCUGAAGGCUACCGGCAGAUCUCAGCCUUAGAGGAUGACCUUGCCCAGACAAAAGCCAUUAAAGAUCAACUUCAGAAAUACAUCAGAGAGCUGGAGCAAGCCAAUGAUGACCUGGAAAGAGCCAAACGGGCCACGAUCAUGUCUCUUGAGGACUUUGAACAGCGCUUGAAUCAAGCCAUUGAAAGAAAUGCCUUCCUGGAGAGCGAACUGGACGAGAAGGAGAAUCUCCUAGAAUCUGUUCAGCGACUGAAGGAUGAAGCCAGAGAUUUGCGGCAAGAAUUGGCUGUGCAGCAAAAGCAGGAGAAACCCAGGACCCCCAUGCCCAGCUCUGUGGAAGCUGAAAGGACAGACACAGCUGUACAGGCCACUGGUUCCGUGCCAUCCACCCCUAUAGCUCAUCGAGGACCCAGCUCUAGCUUAAACACACCUGGGACAUUCAGACGUGGUCUGGACGACUCCACUGGGGGGACCCCCCUCACGCCAGCGGCCCGGAUAUCUGCCCUCAACAUUGUGGGAGACCUGCUGCGGAAAGUGGGGGCUCUGGAGUCCAAACUUGCUUCCUGCCGGAACUUCGUGUAUGAUCAGUCCCCAAACCGACCCAGUGGCCCAGCCUCAGGGUGGGGGAGCAAGAACAGAGACGGCGGCGACAGACGGCCAGGCAGCACCAGUGUGCCUCUGGGUGACAAAGGGAUGUCUAAGAAGAAAGCAAGUUUUUUGCAACAAAAACGACCUGCUUCGCCACACAAAGUAUGGACAGAAAAGCCACGAGGGUGAGCCCAUCCCAGUGAACCCAGCCCGUCAGUUCUUUAGUCAAAGGGGGCAACUCAGGUAAGACAGGAGGCAUAAGCAAGGCCCAGAGAUUUCCUGAUCGCUGACAUGGGGCUUCCCAGCACGAGCCUUCUGGAGUCCAAGGGUGGGAGGAACCCGGGCUGGUAAAACCCUCUGGGGACGGUGGAUGGUACUUCCCAAGGGGCAGUGAUCAAGAAUAAAUACUCAGUAGCUACUGCCGACUAAAGACCUGGGUCAGCCUCACUCCCAUCAGAGGGAAGCUUCUAGGCCUCCAGCCCCUUUUAUUUAUUUAUUUCUUUUUGGCCGCACCUCAAAGGCAGAACUUCCCCAACCAGGGAUUGAACUUGUGCCCCCUGCAGUGGAAGCACAGAGUCCUAACCACUGGACCACCAGGGAAGUCCUCCAGCUCCUUUGGAACUAACUUUCUAUCACUCAGUCUCUAGAGGUUCUUUGAAAGUCUCUUCCUUCUUUAGCACUGUGUUCUCCAAGAACUCGGGACAGAGUAGGGUCCCGGCGUGCAGGGCUCAGCCGCCAUCCACACAGCUCUCCUCCGUGUCUAACCCUCCAGGUUCAAAACUGGAUGGGAUGGCCUGGAGCUGGAGACAGUGGCUCAGGCUCCCUUUGUGUCUCCGAAGAGUCUGCAUUUGCUAAUUAGAGGAGUUUAACUGAUUAAUGCGCUCCCUUGAUCUAAGAAGUAAAUCAGUCGCGCCUGGGUCCCUGUAAGCCCCCUGCGUGGGCACCAGUCCUGAAGCCGGUCUGUUCUGGUUCAGGGGCCUUUCUUGAAGGAACUGGCUUCAAAUCCUAGGCAAAGGUUGACACUGGCUAUAUCUGUCACAGGAAGUAAAGGACCCCUCUAAAAUUUUCUUAAAGGGUUUGAUCCUGGAGAACUUGGAUUCUAUUCAUGGACUCAGAAACGUAUCUAAGGUACUCUUGGCAUCCCAGGGAUCGGCACAAGAGCGUAAGCACCUGCUGCUUUGCAAGGACUCAGUUUCCAUCGACGGGUGGGUCCUACACCCCAGCCAACCCUAGACUCCAGCUUAUCCCGUGAUCGGGAUGCGCUGGCAGAAAAACUACUCAAAAGCCGUGUCUUGGAGGUGUGAUGCUCCUGCCUAAAACUCCUGCCGAGACCUCAUCCAGCUUUAAGUAUUUGGGUAGCGACAGCAAGGCGGGAUUCUCCAAGAGAGAAGACAGACACAAGGCAGGGCUGGCUGGGUCUCUCGAGGAGGAGGUGAAAGCCAGGCCCCAGGUGCCUCACUUCAUGUGUGAGGACACUGUCAGGAUCCCAGAGAAGUCGCGGCCUCUCAACCCUGUCUUUUGAAGGCCCCGUGCGCUCCCUGAGUCUUGGGUGUCCAUCCCCAGUCCGUGAACAUGUGCCCAUGAGACCUCCAAUAAAGGAUCUGCCUGGACCGCGCCCGGCCCUGUGGUGGCCGCUGUGGCCCUCGUGCACUGAAGAUGCAGUUAGCAGCUGGCCCUUGCUCAAGCCCCACGCAACCCCAGUGAGACAUCGGGGUGAGAGCUCGUUUCCCUCGCACGCGUGUGUGGAAACCCCACCUUGGGGGGCACAUUGCUGGGCUGCGGCCACCGUGACCCUGUGCUUUGCUAAUUCUGACUUGUGAACCAGACCAGCCGGAUGGAAGCCGUUCUCCAGGAUGGUACCCAGACAGUGGAGCUGGCAUAUCUGCUCAGCGUGGUGUCUGAGCCAGACGAGGGAGUACGGCACAGCCAUGGCCUCUUCAUUAUUAGGGGCCUGUCACACAGGUUGGACACCAGUUGCCGCUGGUUGUCCAAAUCAACGACCAGGUCGUCCAGCUCUUGCUGAAGCCUGUUCUUGGUCUUUUCCAGUUUGUCAUAAGCAGCUGCCUUCUCUUCGUACUGCUGGGUGAGGCCUUCAAUUUCCUUCUGGAACCUCUUCUUGCCCUCUUCCAGGGAUUCCACGGUGCUGGCAAAGUCCUGCAGUUUCUUCUUCGAAUCGGAGAGCUGAAAUGGCAGUGUCCAGGGUGGGGUGAGAGGAGGGUGGUGAGGGAUUCCCAUCCCUGCGCCCCUGAGAAGCAAAGACCACCGACUCAUUGAAGAAACGCAACAGCAGGGGGAGCCAGCGAGCCAAUCAAAAUGGCGCCACCAUUCUACCACAAUCACAUCGGAGCCACUGAUCUACCCUUAAGGGCUCAGGCCCAGAAACGCAAGGACAUGCAGGGGCACCUGGAUGUUCAGAGUGGAGAUGUGGCGCUCCAGGUUCUGCUUGGCCUCCAUCUCCUCAUCCAGCUGGUCCUGUAGGCUGUUCUUCUCAUCCUCCAGCUGGCGCAGCUUGGUGGACACAUUGAGCUUCUGCCGGGUUUCUUCUUGAAGCAGCUCCUAUGGAAAUGACACAUGGAAGUCUAGCGGCCCACCCCCAGGAAGGUCGUACCCCAGGUGCCUCUGGCUGAUGUGGCACGAUACCCACCUGGGUGUCCUGGAGCUGGGACCCAAGGGAUGCCACGUCCUUGGCCAGUUUGAUGGCCUUCCCCUCUGCCUCGUUGAGCAGCCCCGUGACACUCUCAACUUCAUUCUGAGGGUGCCAAGAGACUGGUUAGUCGGAACCUCUAGAACAGGAUCCUCAUUAAGAGGAGCCCUUUGUACUCAGUGAUAGGCCUUGGGGUAUCCACUGCAAAAUACCCAUGAGCUAGGCGGCCUGGUCAUGGUCGCUCCAUGCCCCCCCAGGGAAGCACAUCACGUACAAGUUGCAAUCUCUGGCUGUAGACUCUGGUUCUAGGACCCUGUUAGAGCCCUGUUAGACUGUAGUUAGACUGUGCUGACUGGGCCCUGAUCCCUCUAAAUGGAUCCUGGAUCCUUGCCAAGGUUGGCAAAGAUGAAGCAGCAGGUCUGAGGCUCCAGACACUGAACAAUGUUCUGGGCUCACUCACUCCCUAAAGUGGGGGAAGGGACUGCAGGUGGCACUUCCACUUCCAGGGGUCCUGUCCCUACCACCCCUCUUCUUCACCCCUGCUCUUUGCCCUUUCACUGACCCUUGUGGCAAAACCAAAGACGCAGACACUAAAGGUAAAAGCCUUCUAACUUUCCUCUGCCUUUUACUCCAGGAGCUGGUAUCUCUGAGCAAGUCCUUUCGGAGAUACCUGCACACCAUCUGUUCUCUUCCCAUUUACAGUAAGGAUGUAAAUGAUCUUGACUCCACUCCUUCAGGACGUUGCUUGUCUUAGGAUAGCAAAACCCCUGUGCCCAACUGCAUGUGGAAAAAUUCAUACUUAACGCUGCCCUGCACCCUCAUCCCAGGCUCUAGGUGCAUUAAAUCUUUAUCAGAGGUGGGGCCAUAUCCCACGAAUGGCAGGUCAGGCCAAAUGUCUAUUCAAAGCUAAUUAAGACCAAAGAAAACCAGACCAUGUCAUUCUUCAGCUUAAAACCCAUCAGUGGUUUCCCAUCACUCAGAGUAAAGACCAACAUACAUAUAAUGGGGCCUUGAAGGCCCUGUGUCCUCCGGCCACAACCUACCUCUCCAAUCCUAUUUUGUGCCACAGUUCCCCUUCCAUUCGGCAUCUAGCUCUACUGGCCUUACGUGAUCUCUUCUAAUUUCCCACUUGCUGCCGGGCCUUUACACAUGCUGCUCCCUCUGCCUAUAAGUAGAUAGACUUCUUACCUGUCAGACUAUACAUCUUAGGGAAGCCUUUCCUGACCCCUCCUCCUGCAGCCCAGGCACCCAUAUUAUUUACACUUAUUGCAUUAUAUGCCUCUGCUUUCCAGCAUCAUUUUACAUUCAUCUAUGUGGUUAUUAACGUCUUACCCUCCACUAGUCUGGAGUUCUCCUGGGGCAGGGACAGUGUCUGUCUGCUUCCUUGCUCUUGUAUCUCAGGAUUAAACAUGGUGCCUGGCAUACAGCAGGCACUCAAUAAAUACUCACUGAAUGAGUGGAAGAGAGUUUUUAAACAUUAAAUUGAAUAGGGCGACCAU